rnacentral:rRNA from 1 species
GACGAACGCUGGCGGCGUGCUUAACACAUGCAAGUCGAACGGAAAGGCCCUGCUUUUGUGGGGUGCUCGAGUGGCGAACGGGUGAGUAACACGUGAGUAACCUGCCCUUGACUUUGGGAUAACUUCAGGAAACUGGGGCUAAUACCGGAUAGGAGCUCCUGCUGCAUGGUGGGGGUUGGAAGGUUUCGGCGGUUGGGGAUGGACUCGCGGCUUAUCAGCUUGUUGGUGGGGUAGUGGCUUACCAAGGCUUUGACGGGUAGCCGGCCUGAGAGGGUGACCGGCCACAUUGGGACUGAGAUACGGCCCAGACUCCUACGGGAGGCAGCAGUGGGGAAUAUUGCACAAUGGGCGGAAGCCUGAUGCAGCAACGCCGCGUGCUGGAUGACGGCCUUCGGGUUGUAAACCGCUUUCGCCUGUGACGAAGCGUGAGUGACGGUAAUGGGUAAAGAAGCACCGGCUAACUACGUG